rnacentral:rRNA from 1 species
GGCCGCGGGAAUUCGAUUCAGGCCUAACACAUGCAAGUCGAACGGCAGCACGGGGGCAACCCUGGUGGCGAGUGGCGAACGGGUGAGUAAUAUAUCGGAACGUACCCAGUAGUGGGGGAUAACUAUCCGAAAGGAUAGCUAAUACCGCAUACGAUCUGUGGAUGAAAGCAGGGGAUCUUCGGACCUUGUGCUAUUGGAAUGGCCGAUAUCUGAUUAGCUAGUUGGUAGGGUAAAAGCCUACCAAGGCGACGAUCAGUAGCUGGUCUGAGAGGACGACCAGCCACACUGGAACUGAGACACGGUCCAGACUCCUACGGGAGGCAGCAGUGGGGAAUUUUGGACAAUGGGGGCAACCCUGAUCCAGCAAAAGGGCGUGAGUGAAGAAGGCCCUCGGGUUGU